CCCACACUCCAAAGACGUACAGGUUUGUAGGUUAAUUGGCUUGGUAUAAAUGUAAAGUGUCCCAAGCGCGUGUGUGUUGGGUAGUGUUAAAGUGCGGGGACUGCUGGACGGUGCGGACCUGGUGGGCCGAAGGGCCUGUUUCCGCGCUGUAUGUCUAAACUAAACCAAAACCAAAUAAAGUGCUGGAAUAUCUGAGCGAGUCAGGCAACAUCUGUGGAGAUAGACACAAAAUGCUGGAGUAACUCAGCGGGACGGGAAGCAUCUCUGGAGAGAUGGAAUGGGUGACGUUUCGGGUCGAGGCCCAUCUUGUGGAAGGUGCAGGUCAAGACACCUUCUUCAGUCUCCAGCACUUGGUGAAUUACAAAGAUUCGAGCAUCUGUAGUUUGUUUUGUAUGUACAAUUCCUCUUGCCUCUUGCCAAUCAAGUAUGUUGCUUUGUCCUCAAUGACAGAUAGAUUGUUGAGAGUGGUUGAUGCUGUAAUCAUUCAGGCAAGUAGACAUUAUUUCAUCACAAUCCUAAUUUGGGACUUGUAGGUGCUGGAAACCACUUUGGGGUGUCAGGGCAUGAAUCACUCACCACACAAUACCCAGCCUUUAACCGACACUUGUAGCCACAGUCUGCAUGUCACUAGCCCUAUUAACUUUCUGGUUGAAUUGAUGAUGGGGGGUUAUCAUUGAUGGUUGUGCCUUUGAAUGUCAAUAGGCAGUGGUUCAACUCCCUUUUUUAUUGCUGGAGGAAGUCACUGUGGUGCUCAUGUUUGUUUCAAAAGUUACUUGUCGUGAAUGAGCAUGAACCUGUGUGCUCUCACAACUGUUGCAUGUAGCUGAGUUUAGUUUAGAGAUGCAGCGCUGACACCUUCGGCCCACCGAGUCCAUGCCGACCAGCGAUCCCCGUGCACUAGCACUAUCCAACACGCUAGGGACAAUUUACAAUUUUAUCGAAGCUAAUUUACCGACAAACCGAUACGUCUUUGGAGUGUGGGAGGAAACCGGAGCACCCGGACACGGGGAGAUUGUACAAACUCCGUACAGACAGCACCUGUAGUAGGAUUGAACCCUAGUCUCUGGCGCUGUAAAGGGCAUGUCCCACUUUCCCGAACUAGUCACGACUUCUCCUGCGUUAUUCACGAAUUCUCCCGAGUUUUCAAACUCACAGAAUGUUCGUAACGAGUCCAUAGUCCGUAGGAGACCGUGGAUAUAUCGUAGCGGCUCGUUAUGCCAGCCGUAGGUACUCGGGGCUUUCUUUUUAUUCCUGGACAUUUUUCAUCAGGCUGGAAAAAACGUCUCGACUUACCUGAUGCCCCGAGUACCUACAGCUGGCAUAACGAGCAGCUACAAUAUACCUAUGGACUCCUACGGACUCGUUACGAACAUUCUGCGAGUUUGAAAACUCGGGAGAAUUCGUGAAUAACUCGGGAAAGUGGGACAGGCCCUUUAGAUAGCAACUCUACCGCUGCGCUACCGUGUUGGCACAGAUAGUUCCGUAAAACCAUGACAUCGGAGCAGAAUUUGACCAUGGCUGAUCUACUUUUCCCUCACAACCCCAUUCUCCUGCUUUCUCCCAGUAACCUGAUGCCCUUCCUAAUCCAGAAUCUAUCAAUCCCCGCUUUAAAAAUACCCAGUGUCUUGACCUCCACGGCUGUCUGAAUUCCACAUAUUCACCACUAUAUGGCUAAAAAAAAAAAUUAAGGUACAUCCUUUUAUACUGAGGUCGUGCCUUGUGGUCCUUGAUUCUCCCAUUACUGGAAACAUCCGAUCCACGUCAACUCUAUUCAGGCCUUUCAUUAUCUGGCAGAUUUCAAUGUGGUUCCCGCCUUAUCCUUCGAAGCUUGUACGGUGUUUGUCCGUUAUCCCCGUGACCCGCGUGGCUUUUCCCCGGGUGCUCCGGUUUCCUCCCGCACUCCAAAGACGUGCAGGUUUGUAGGUUCAUUUGGCUUCGGUAAAAAUUGUAUCUCGGAAAGUGCUAGUCCACGGGGUGAUCGCUGGUCGGCGUGGACUCGGUGGGCCGAAAGGCCUGUUUCCGCGCUGUAUCUAAAUUACAGCACAUAGCGCUGGUAACAAGGUAUCAAGAGUAGAUAACAGAAUACUUCUUCAAAGUGCUCUGAGUUGCUCUUCAACAUGAUCAUGAUCUUUUGUUUUGUUCAAAGUGCAUUUUUGGACUUUUGAUAGAGGACGUUUGUAGCUUGAACAUUAACUCCUAUAUUUACCGUUGUUUUAAUGCCAGGAUAAAUGUUUGCGUUCCAUUUAACCUGAGAGUCAAAGUUCAGUCCAACUCCUGUUUAAAAAUGAAGCUCCAAGCCGAUAAUGAUUCUGUUGUCUAAACAAAAUCGUGAAGAAGAAUACCAAGUAUUACAUUUCCAGUGUAAUUUUGCCGUCUGAGUGGAAUGGCUGACACAGGUUUCUGAUGCAGAAUGACUCUCACAGGUUGCGAUGUGCAUUUCUGGGGUACAGUGCAGUUGGACUGCAGAGACAUGGCAUCAACAGCUAUGCCAACACCAGGUAUUGGUGAAGACAUUGCAAGCCAAGUCAAGACAAGUCAAGUUUGCGGACAAGUGGACAUGUGUGGUGAGAUACUGCUACAAUAAAGAUUUCGCUUGCAUCAGCAUCACGGGCACAUAACGCACAAAACUUAAAUCAUACACAGAGGGGUGGCACGGUGGCGCAGAGGUACUGGGAUUUCCCCGGGUGCUAUGAAUUCCUCCCGCAGUCCAAAGACGUACAGGUUUGUAGGUUCAUUGGCUUUGGUAAAAAUUGUAAAUUGUCCCAAGUAUGCAGGAUAGUGCUAGCGUACGGGGAUCGUCGGUUGGCGAGGACACGGUGGGCCGAAGGGCCUGUUUCUGCACUGUAUCUCUAAACUGUACUAAACCAAAAUAAAUGGCAGGUCAGGAUAUGGUAAAUGCAUCGGCCCAGCCACAGGAUAGAGCCUAGUCUGCAAGUGGCCUUCAAGCUGGCUGGCACUAUGCCGGGGCUUUGAGGCAAUUUCAAAUGUUUGAAGGAUUUUUGAGAGGAAAUGUUACAUUUCUAGUUUCCUCCUGAAAUUAUAGGCAGCUCUGCAGUGCCAACAGGAAAUCAAAAGAUCCCACCCAUUUAUUUGUCUAGGUCCAGAUCUUUAAACAUGGCAACAGGUACUUCAUUCCGUCGUGUGAUAUUCCAAAGAUAACUGCCAGAGCCACCAUAUUUAUCCACUGCACGGUGCCAAUGGUUUGGUUCUUUCUGCCCUCGGGAGUUCCCCUGAUACACGGCAACUAUGAGAAUUGUUGAUGCUGAGACAAUAGACAAUAGACAUAGGUGCAGGAGUAGGCCAUUCGGCCCUUCGAGCCAGCACCGCCCUUCACUGUGAUCAUGGCUGAUCAUCCACAAUCAGUACCCCGUUCCUGCCUUCUCCCCAUAUCCCCUGAGAUUGGAGUUGCCUGUGAGCCUAUUGGGUAUUGGUCUGUUGAACUAAUCGGUAGUGCAACAAGUGGCAAAAUAACAUUUUUGAUACUUAUAAAAAGUGCUUUGAGUACAAUCAGCCAUGAACUAGUAACUGGAACUCAAUGUGACCUUACAGCUACAACAUUUCUUGGAACCAUCCAGAUAAUUCUGCUGAUUCCGGUACAUUCCAUGCAUGUAUUAUCCAACAGAUGGAACCUUCCAGAAUGAGAGUUUGUUUCCAACUUCCAACAAUCAAUGUGAGCUAGUUGGUUCACCCUGUCGUCUUUACAGUGUUGAUUGAUUUUUCUCUGGUGCGUUCAAUAGCUGCAAAACAUGCAAUUGGCACAAACAGACGACCGCUGUUCACAAUGUUUAUCAAUAAUCUAGACUCUAAAGUUCAGGUUCCAAAUUUUGAGGUGAUCGUGCUUUGAGAAUGUAAUUAAUACAGAGAGGGCAACAUGGUGGUGCAGCGGUAGCGUUGCUGCCUCAUAGCACAAGAGACCAGGGUUCGAUCCUGACGAUGGGCGCUGCCUGUACGGAGUUUGUAUGUUCUCCACGUGCACGGCCUGCUUCUUUUCUUCGGGUGCUCCGGUUUCCAACACACUACAAAGACUUACAGCUUCAUGCAGCUGAAAAUCAAUCCGCUUCUGGAGUGAAACAGAGCAUCAGAAAACUGCAGAUUGCUGGAUUCCCCACAAAAGAUCUCCACAGCUUCCAAAUAAGCUCUGAAUUAUGUACAUCGAUUAUUAUUGUUAUUUUUGCACAAUUAUUGUUUGUUUGUUUUUUAUGUGUACAUAUAUGUGCGUGUGUGUGUGUGUAUAUAUACACAUGCAUGUAUGUAUAUAUAUUAAUAUAAUAUGUGUAUGUUUGAGUAUUUGUAUAUAUACACACACUGAACUUUUUUUUCUGUUUAUUAUAUUGUUUACAGUGUACUGUGUACUGAAGAUAGACACAAAACGCUGGAGUAACCCAGCGUCUUUGGAGAAAAGGGUCUCGACCCGAAACGUCACCCAUUCCUUCUCUCCAGAGAUGCUGCCUGUCCCGCUAAGUUACUCCAGCAUUUUGUCACUAUCUUCGGCUUGAACCAGCAUCUGCAGUUCCUUCCAACAUAUGUUUACAUAUUCUCUUGUGCUGCUUCAAGUAGGAAUUUCAUUGUUCUAUCUGGGGCACAUGACAAUAAAAUACCCUUGACGCUCCGAAACACCUCCUGCACUCUUGGAGUGACCACCUGACUCUAGGUCCUGUCCAGGAAGCUUUCGUCGUCCCGGAUGGACCGCAGAUCAUCCAGCUGCUGCUCCAGUUUCCUAACUGAGAAACAGGCCGUUCGGCCCACUGAGCCGGCGAUCACCCCGUACACCAGCAUGAACUUACACACUGGGGACAAUUUACAAUUUACAUCCCAAUUAACCUGCAAAGCUGCACGUCUUUGGGAUGUGGGAGGAAACCGGAGCUUCCCGGAGAAAACCCAAGCAGGUCACAGGAAGAGCAUAUAAACUCCGUACAGACAGCACCUGUAGUCAGGAUCGAACCCGGGUCUCUGGCAACUCUACCGCUGCGCCACCGUGCCGCCCUGUUUUAUGCUGAUUAAUGCACAAAGGGACACAAAAUGCAGGUCAGGCAUCAUCUCUGGAGAACGUGGAUAGGGUAUAGGAAAGAACUGCAGAUGCCGGUUUAAAUUGAAGAUAUACACAAAAUGCAGGAGAAACUCUGUGGGACAGGCAGCAUCUCUGGAGAGAAGGAAUGGGUGACGUUUCAGGUCGAAACCCUUCUUCAGAUCCUUCACACCCCUGACAGAGAAAUCAAGUUACAUCCCUACAAUUUAUCAGUCUUCUCACUCCUCCUUCCAGUUCUGACGAAGAGAUUCCAACGUGUGGCAUUGAAUCUGUUUUUCUUCCCACAGAUGCAGUCUGACUUGCUGAGUGUUUCCCAACAUUUUUCCCUGUUUUUUCCCUUUUUCCACAGGCCUGGAAUUUUUUCAAUCCAUUUUGACAUCCCAGCACAUUAAUUCCGCUUCUCUGUGUGUGAAACAUAAUGUUCUUUUCAAUAAAAGAGCUGUUUUCCUUUU